UGGGGAAUAUUGCACAAUGGGCGAAAGCCUGAUGCAGCAACGCCGCGUGAGGGACGAAGGCCUUCGGGUUGUAAACCUCUUUUAGCAGGGAAGAAGCGAAAGUGACGGUACCUGCAGAAAAAGCACCGGCUAACUACGUG
rnacentral:rRNA from 1 species